AUUGAACGCUGGCGGCAGGCCUAACACAUGCAAGUCGAACGGUAACAGGAAGCAGCUUGCUGCUUCGCUGACGAGUGGCGGACGGGUGAGUAAUGUCUGGGAAGCUGCCUGAUGGAGGGGGAUAACUACUGGAAACGGUAGCUAAUACCGCAUAAUGUCGCAAGACCAAAGAGGGGGACCUUCGGGCCUCUUGCCAUCGGAUGUGCCCAGAUGGGAUUAGCUUGUUGGUGGGGUAACGGCUCACCAAGGCGACGAUCCCUAGCUGGUCUGAGAGGAUGACCAGCCACACUGGAACUGAGACACGGUCCAGACUCCUACGGGAGGCAGCAGUGGGGAAUAUUGCACAAUGGGCGCAAGCCUGAUGCAGCCAUGCCGCGUGUAUGAAGAAGGCCUUCGGGUUGUAAAGUACUUUCGGCGGGGAGGAAGGGAGUAAAGUUAAUACCUUUGCUCAUUGACGUUACCCGCAGAAGAAGCACCGGCUAACUCCGUG
rnacentral:rRNA from 1 species